CCUACGGGGGACAGCAGUGAGGAAUAUUGGUCAAUGGACGAGAGUCUGACCCAGCCAAGUAGCGUGAAGGAUGACUGCCCUCUGGGUUGUAAACUUCUUUUAUAUGGGAAUAAAAUGUUCCACGUGUGUGAUUUUGUAUGUACCAUAUGAAUAAGGAUCGGCUAACUCCGUGCCAUCAGACGCGGUAAUACGGAGGAUCCGAGCGUUAUCCGGAUUUAUUGGGUUUAAAGGGAGCGUAGGUGGAUUGUUAAGUCAGUUGUGAAAGUUUGCGGCGCAACCGUAAAAGUGCAGUUGAAACUGGCAGUCUUGAGUACAGGAGAGGUGAGCGGAAUGCGUGGUGUAGCGGUGAAAUGCUUAGAUAUCACGAAGAACACCGAUUGCGAAGGCAGCUCACUGGACUGCAACUGACACUGAGGCUCGAAAGUGUGGGUAUCAAACAGGAUUAGAUACCCCUGUAGUC
rnacentral:rRNA from 1 species